AUAGUCGGUCAAACAUCCGCCAUUAAACUCCAGAGGAAGAUUUGCACUGGUGSUAACGAGUGCUAACUGCUACACCCAACAUGAACGAAAAUGUCCAUGCGUUGUGUGAAAUGGUGGAAAAAGUCCUAUUUCACGGAGUUACCUUUUCAGUAUCAUUUUGAUAUUAAGCAAUGAUCCGGCGGAAAACAACAGAUGACACCGCRGCRGUCCAACAAGACCGAACUCACGACCUGAAAAAUGGCCAAGCAGAACCAGCCAGACCUCAGACCACGGUGCCGAGGAGCUCUGAGUCCACCAGGACGAAGAGAAAUUCAUACAGCAAGGCAAAGUGUGGAACGCAGUAAAGAUCUACAAAAUGGCGGACGGAGGACGGAUCUGAGGAUGAAGUCAUGAAGCCGGUAUGUAUAAUUAAUCACUGCGUUGA